rnacentral:rRNA from 1 species
GUAGCAAUACCACUAGUGGCGCACGGGUGCGUAACGCGUAACCAACCUGCCCUUGACUGGGGGAUAGCCCGCCGAAAGGCGGAUUAAUACCGCAUAAACUAGCAGCCUGGCAUCAGGCAACUAGUAAAGAUUUAUUGGUCAAGGAUGGGGUUGCGUGACAUUAGCUAGUUGGCGGGGUAACGGCCCACCAAGGCGACGAUGUCUAGGGGACCUGAGAGGGUGAUCCCCCACACUGGCACUGAGAUACGGGCCAGACUCCUACGGGAGGCAGCAGUAGGGAAUAUUGGGCAAUGGGCGGGAGCCUGACCCAGCCAUGCCGCGUGCCGGAUGAAGGCCUUCUGGGUUGUAAACGGCUUUUCUCAGGGAAGAAAAAGACCAUGCGUGGUACACUGACGGUACCUGAGGAAUAAGCACCGGCUAACUCCGUGCCAGCAGCCGCGGUAAUACGGAGGGUGCAAGCGUUGUCCGGAUUUAUUGGGUUUAAAGGGUGCGUAGGCGGCCCGUUAAGUCCGGGGUGAAAGCCCACAGCUCAACUGUGGAACUGCCCUGGAUACUGGCGGGCUUGAGUCCAGACGAGGUUGGCGGAAUGGAAGGUGUAGCGGUGAAAUGCAUAGAUACCUUCCAGAACCCCGAUUGCGUAGGCAGCUG